UCUGCCACCUAGCGUUAUCUUAUUGCGUGUUUCCUAAAUAAUUAAUGCAAUAUAGGGCAUCGAUUGUGAGGUGACGGGCGGGCGCGGGGCGGGGACAGGAGCGCGGGGGUGCGCGCGGCGCACGCACGCGAUUGGCUGUCAAGCCUGCGUGAGUGCGUACCUCCCCGCGUGCGUAUGCCUUCGCCCGCCCGUGUUCAGUCUUCUUGUGAACUCCGUGCGAGACAGACGUGCCGCGCCGCGUUACAAGUGACGUACGAAAGCCGCGACCGCGCGUCCAUCCGCUCCCUCCCAUCAGUAACAUCUACCAAGUUUAAUUUUCAACUGGUACUAAUUCAUCUGUCCAUAUGGUUCAUCUCGUAGAUAUUUUUCGUUCAGCGAAAGUUGAAUACCCGCCGCCUGUUAUUAUUUAAGUUUUCCGGUGUUAUUUCCAGUUUGGAAGUUAUGUUUAAAACUUUUUUACGUGUGGUUCCGACGCGAGUCAUGUGUUUAUUGUUUGUUUUGUUUAACUUAUGUUGACGACGAUGAUUUAUUUUUGUAAACUAACAAAUAAACAUCGGAACUACUAACCCUUAUUUAGUGUUGAAUAAAAUAUAACUUAUGAGAA